CACCAUAUCAGUUAUCACCGAAAAAGAGUAAAAAGUAGCAAGCAAGAACCAGAAACUAAUCAGAAUGGGGAGAUGGAAGAUAUUAGUAUCAUUAGUGGUGGUGUCAUUACUAUUAUGUAGUUCAGAGUGUUUGCAACAUAGAGUUGGGGAUUCAAUAUGGUCUAUUCCUCCAACCAAUAAUUUCUACAAAAACUGGUCUUCUUCCUACACCUUUCACACUGGAGACACUCUUUAUUUCGACUUCGAUUCAGGGCUUUACAACGUGCUUCAAGUGUCGAGAGGCGAGUUCGAUAUGUGCACCGGAUACGAGCCAUACAAGACCUUCAUCGACGGACCGGCCACCAUCCCUUUGCCUAUGAAAGGCGUCUUUUAUUAUGUAUGCAAUGUCUCCAACUAUUGUGCCUUAGGCCUCAAGCUUUGGGUCAUCGUAGAACAGACUUAAUUCAUAUAUGCUUUAUUUUUCUUAUAUUCUUAACUUCUAAGUUAUUUUUAUUUGAAACAUUGGUGAAUCAUUAUGUCACUGAAAAAAAAUAUUGGUGCAUAUGU